rnacentral:lncRNA from 1 species
UGAGAUAUGAGAGGUCUCUUCUUUCUUAUAUCUAUCCUUCAUAUCUAUGCCUCCUCUUGUCUUCUCCACUUCAUGUUCAUACCCAGAUCUGAUAGAGAUCAGAUCUAAGAGAGAAAAAGAGAGAGAAGAAGAGAAGAAGAAGGGUUCUUCUUCUCUUCAUGAUGAUCUAGUUUAGAUCCUGUCAGAUUGCGUGAAAGAGUUUACGCAAUGAUCUCCUUCUUCAAGAUCUAGAAGAAGAGAUCUAGAUUCAAAGAUGAGGAGCGAGAUCUGUAAGGUGUUAGCACAUCGAUGAUCUCGAUGCUCUGAUCAAGCGGCUCUAUGUAAAUACUAGCAGAAGUCGGGCACAUGCGCGGCUACGAUCAGAAUCCAAAACAUGCACAGGAUUCGAGGUAUGGAGAUCUGAUCUCCAUUUGUUUUUCCUAAGAGUUUAUUUUUCUAUUUCAGAUUUUAGAUUUUAGAUCAUAGGUACAUAUUCAUAUUAAUAUCUUUAUUACAAUUUUUAGAUCAGAUCUGAUAUGUGAAUAAAUUAAAAUUAUUUUAAUUUAUUUAUUUUCACUGCAU